rnacentral:misc_RNA from 1 species
UACGGAGGGUGCAAGCGUUGUCCGGAUUUAUUGGGUUUAAAGGGUGCGUAGGCGGCUCUUUAAGUCAGUGGUGAAAGUCUACGGCUCAACCGUAGGAUUGCCAUUGAUACUGGGGAGCUUGAGUAUAGUUGAGGUAGGCGGAAUUGACAGUGUAGCGGUGAAAUGCAUAGAUAUUGUCAAGAACUCCAAUUGCGAAGGCAGCUUACUAAGCUACAACUGACGCUGAGGCACGAAAGUGUGGGGAUCAAACAGG